rnacentral:rRNA from 1 species
AGCAGCCGCGGUAAUUCCAGCUCCAAUAGCGUAUAUUAAAGUUGUUGCAGUUAAAAAGCUCGUAGUUGAACUUCAGGCCUGGCUGGAUGGUCCGCCUUCUGGGUGAGUACUGUCUGUGGUCGGGUCCUACCUUCUGGCGAAGCGUCAUGGCCUUAACCGGCCGUGGCGGGGAGCCAGGACUUUUACUGUGAAAAAUUAGAGUGUUCAAAGCAGGCACGCGCUUGAAUACAUUAGCAUGGAAUAAUGGAAUAGGACAGUGGUUCUAUUUGUUGGUUUCUAGGACCGUUGUAAUGAUUAAUAGGGAUAGUUGGGGGCAUUAGUAUUCAAUUGUCAGAGGUGAAAUUCUUGGAUUUAUUGAAGACUAACUACUGCGAAAGCAUUUGCCAAGGAUGUUUUCAUUAAUCAAGAACGAAAGUUAGGGGAUCGAAGACGAUCAGAUACCGUCGUAGUCUUAACCAUAAACUAUGCCGACUAGGAAUCGGGCGAUGUUGACAAAAUGACGCGCUCGGCACCU